AUUGAACGCUGGCGGCGUGCUUAACACAUGCAAGUCGAUCGGUAACGCGGGGGCAACCCUGGCGACGAGAGGCGGACGGGUGAGGAACGCUUGGGAAUCUGCCUAUCAGCGGGGGACAACACGGGGAAACUCGUGCUAAUACCGCAUACGCUCUACGGAGGAAAGCCGGGGACCGCAAGGCCUGGCACUGAUAGAUGAGCCCAAGCCGGAUUAGCUAGUUGGCGGGGUAACGGCCCACCAAGGCGACGAUCCGUAGCUGGUCUGAGAGGACGAUCAGCCACACUGGAACUGAGACACGGUCCGGACUCCUACGGGAGGCAGCAGUGAGGAAUAUUGGUCAAUGGAGGCAACUCUGAACCAGCCAAGUCGCGUGAAGGAUGAAGGUCUUAUGGAUUGUAAACUUCUUUUGUAAGGGAAUAAAGUGAGCCACGAGUGGUUUUUUGCAUGUACCUUACGAAUAAGGAUCGGCUAACUCCGUGCCAGCAGCCGCCGUAACAC
rnacentral:rRNA from 1 species